CCACCUUCCCCAACUUCAAUCGUUAGGUCCACCUCGACCAUGACCCCUUUCGGCUCUCCAACUUUGGAUCCUUCAACUUCGCCACUGCAGUCAUGGCCGCCUACUCCGCUGCCAACAGUGUCCCCUCACCCAUGUCCACCUCCAAUCUCAGCCACUGCCAUCAGUAUCUCCUAACCAUCUGCUCUCCCUCCGCCAUCCCCAUCGUUGCUUGAAGCCCAUGGAAAACGACCCACUUUGCCGUCUCCAUUGCUGCUCGAAGUCUACGGAGAGCAACCCCCUUCGCUGUCACUGUUGCCGAUCGAACCCUUUGUGUAGGAUGGUUCACCACAGAGAUCUAGGACACUUGGAAGAAAGCCCACAUCUGACUCGUGCCUAC
rnacentral:lncRNA from 1 species